rnacentral:rRNA from 1 species
UGGGGAAUAUUGCACAAUGGGGGGAACCCUGAUGCAGCCAUGCCGCGUGAAUGAAGAAGGCCUUCGGGUUGUAAAGUUCUUUCGGUGACGAGGAAGGUUGAUAGGUUAAUAGCCUAUCAAAUUGACGUUAAUCACAGAAGAAGCACCGGCUAACCCCGUGCCAGCAGCCGCGGUAAUACGGGGGGUGCGAGCGUUAAUCGGAAUAACUGGGCGUAAAGGGCACGCAGGCGGUGACUUAAGUGAGAUGUGAAAGCCCCGAGCUUAACUUGGGAAUUGCAUUUCAUACUGGGUCGCUAGAGUACUUUAGGGAGGGGUAGAAUUCCACGUGUAGCGGUGAAAUGCGUAGAGAUGUGGAGGAAUACCGAAGGCGAAGGCAGCCCCUUGGGAAUGUACUGACGCUCAUGUGCGAAAGCGUGGGGAGCAAACAGGAUUAGAUACCCUGGUAGUCCACGCUGUAAACGAUGUCGAUUUGGGGAUUGGGCUUUGAGCUUGGUGCCCGUAGCUAACGUGAUAAAUCGACCGCCUGGGGAGUACGGCCGCAAGGUUA